AAAACUACGCACUAGCAGCGUAAGCUGCUAGUCGUCCUGACCGGGUCGCCCGUAGCCCGGAAGCAACAUCUCAGGACGUCAUCGCUUACGGGAUGCUCCUUUAUCCAGAGCUCACUGGCUAAAGGCUAAGAUUUAAAGAGCUCGCCUCUCGCACCCUGGCCUUCGGGUCGCAAGAGGUUAAAUUAAUAGAAGGACACUAAACAUGUAGAUCUCAAGGCCUAGUGCUGGCGGACGCGGGUUCAAUUCCCGCCGUCUCCACCA
rnacentral:tmRNA from 1 species